rnacentral:rRNA from 1 species
GACGGGGGGGGCAAGCGUUGUUCGGAAUUACUGGGCGUAAAGGGCUCGUAGGCGGCCAACUAAGUCAGACGUGAAAUCCCUCGGCUUAACCGGGGAACUGCGUCUGAUACUGGAUGGCUUGAGAUUGGGAGAGGGAUGCGGAAUUCCAGGUGUAGCGGUGAAAUGCGUAGAUAUCUGGAGGAACACCGGUGGCGAAGGCGGCAUCCUGGACCGGCAUUGACGCUGAGGAGCGAAAGCUAGGGGAGCAAACGGG